rnacentral:rRNA from 1 species
CACGUAGGGCGCAAGCGUUGUCCGGAAUUAUUGGGCGUAAAGAGCUCGUAGGCGGUCUGUUGCGUCUGCUGUGAAAACCCGGGGCUUAACCCCUGGCUUGCAGUGGAUACGGACAGACUAGAGGUAGGUAGGGGAGAAUGGAAUUCCCGGUGUAGCGGUGAAAUUCGUAGAUAUCGGGAGGAACACCAGUGGCGAAGGCGGCGAUCUGGGCAGAUACUGACGCUGAGGUGCGAAAGCGUGGGGAGCGAACAGG